GACGAACGCUGGCGGCGUGCUUAACACAUGCAAGUCGAACGCUGAAGCCCUGGCUUUUGUUGGGUUGGAUGAGUGGCGAACGGGUGAGUAACACGUGAGUAACCUGCCCUCUUCUUUGGGAUAACGCCCGGAAACGGGUGCUAAUACUGGAUAUUCACUGAUCUUCGCAUGGGGGUUGGUGGAAAGGUUUGUUCUGGUGGGGGAUGGGCUCGCGGCCUAUCAGCUUGUUGGUGGGGUGAUGGCCUACCAAGGCUUUGACGGGUAGCCGGCCUGAGAGGGUGACCGGUGACAUUGGGACUGAGAUACGGCCCAGACUCCUGCGGGAGGCAGCAGUGGGGAAUAUUGCACAAUGGGCGAAAGCCUGAUGCAGCGACGCCGCGUGAGGGAUGGAGGCCUUCGGGUUGUAAACCUCUUUCGCUCAUGGUCAAGCCGCAACUGUGGGUUGUGGUGAGGGUAGUGGGUAAAGAAGCGCCGGCUAACUACGUG
rnacentral:rRNA from 1 species